GGGCUGGUAGUUCAGCGGUAGUAAUACUCGCUUCGCAAGCGAGAGGUCGCGGGUUCAAAUCCCGCCCAGUCCA
rnacentral:tRNA from 1 species